rnacentral:rRNA from 1 species
UACGUAGGGUGCAAGCGUUGUCCGGAAUUAUUGGGCGUAGAGAGCUCGUAGGCGGUCUGUCGCGUCUGCUGUGAAAACUCAGGGCUUAACCCUGAGCUUGCAGUGGGUACGGGCAGACUAGAGUGCGGUAGGGGAGACUGGAAUUCCUGGUGUAGCCGUGAAAUGCGCAGAUAUCAGGAGGAACACCGGUGGCGAAGGCGGGUCUCUGGGCCGUAACUGACGCUGAGGAGCGAAAGCAUGGGGAGCGAACAGG